rnacentral:rRNA from 1 species
AUGGAAGAAGAAAUUGAUGAAGUUGCGAGCUCAUUGGAUGAAAAAGAUGAUGAGGAGAGCGAAGAACAAACAGAGGAAGAACGGAUUAGCUACCCGUGCCCACCUUCUAAUGAGAGUAACUCUUCAACUCAUACAUUAUUUAAUUUCCCUUCAUGCUUACCGAAGGAUGAAUGCUAUGAUAAUUGCUAUGAUCCCGUUGAUUCGUUUGAAAUAUCCUGUUUUGAUGAACUUUAUGCUUGUUGUGCUUGUGGCCAAGAUGCCAAUAUGAAUUAUGCUUAUGGAGAUGAACUUUCUAUAGUUCCUUAUGUUAAUAAUGACAUUGUUGCUAUUGCACCCACACAUGAUAGUCCUAUUAUCUUUUUGAAUUCUCCCAACUACACUAUAUCAGAGAAGUUUGCUCUUGUUAAGGAUUAUAUUGAUAGGUUGCCUUUUACCGUUGCACAUGAUGAUUUUGAUGAAUAUAAUAUGCAUGUGCUUGCUGCUCCUACUUGCAAUUAUUACGAGAGAGGAACUACAUCUCAGCCUCUCUAUGUUUCCAACACGAUAAAAUUGCAAGAAACUGCUUAUGCUAUGUAUUGUCCAUUACUUGAUGUGCAUGAAUUGUUCUUGUAUGACAUGCCGAUGCAUAGGAAGAGAGUUAGAAUUCGUCAUUGCUUGAUAUAUGUUGCUUUGUGCUCACUACUAAAUGUCAAAUCCCUGCUAAUUAAAAUUGGCUUUGAUAUACCUUCGGAUCCGAUGGAUUCAUUACUUGAGCACUUUAUGCCUAGCUUAAUGGCUUUAAAGAAAGCGCUGCUAGGGAGACAACCCGGAAGUUUUAGAGAGUCACUUAUUUAUGUUGAGUGCUUUUAUAAAGUUUAA